AUACGGGGGGAGCAAGCGUUAUUCGGAAUCACUGGGCGUAAAGGACGCGUAGGCGGGUUAUUAAGUCGGGUGUGAAAUCCAAUGGCUCAACCAUUGAACUGCAUUCGGAACUGAUAACCUAGAGUAUGGAAGGGGCAGGUGGAAUUAGUGGUGUAGGGGUAAAAUCCGUAGAUAUCACUAGGAAUACCGAAAGCGAAGGCGACCUGCUGGGACAUUACUGACGCUGAGGCGUGAAGGCGUGGGGAGCAAACAGGAUUAGAAACCCCAGUAGUCC
rnacentral:rRNA from 1 species